rnacentral:rRNA from 1 species
UCAGGAUGAACGCUAGCUACAGGCUUAACACAUGCAAGUCGCGGGGCAGCAUGUGUGUGCUUGCACACAAUGAUGGCGACCGGCGCACGGGUGAGUAACGCGUAUCCAACCUCCCCUUAGUAGGGCAUAGCCCGGCGAAAGUCGGAUUAAUACCCUAUGUUCUUCGUAGAUGGCAUCUGAGACGAAGCAAAGGUUAGCGCUAAGGGAUGGGGAUGCGUCUGAUUAGGCAGUCGGCGGGGUAACGGCCCACCGAGCCAUCGAUCAGUAGGGUUCUGAGAGGAAGGUCCCCCACAUUGGAACUGAGACACGGUCCAAACUCCUACGGGAGGCAGCAGUGAGGAAUAUUGGUCAAUGGGCGAGAGCCUGAACCAGCCAAGUAGCGUGCAGGACGACGGCCCUACGGGUUGUAAACUGCUUUUAUGCGGGGAUAAAGUGCCCUACGUGUAGGGUAUUGCAGGUACCGCAUGAAUAAGGACCGGCUAAUUCCGUGCCAGCCGCUGC